rnacentral:misc_RNA from 1 species
GAUGAAGAACGCAGCGAAAUGCGAUAAGUAAUGUGAAUUGCAGAAUUCAGUGAAUCAUCGAAUCUUUGAACGCAAAUUGCGCCCGCCAGUAUUCUGGCGGGCAUGCCUGUUCGAGCGUCAUUUCAACCCUCAAGACCCCUUCGGGGGACUUGGUGUUGGGGACCGGCACAGGGGCCUGCCUGCUUGUCUUGCAGCGCCCUCGCCGCCCCCGAAAUGAAUUGGCGGCCUCGUCGCGGCCUCCCCUGCGUAGUAGCACAAACCUCGCAACGGGAACGUGACGGCGGCCACUGCCGUAAAACAACCCAAUUUUAUUAGAGUUGACCUCGAAUCAGGUAGGAAUACCCGCUGAACUUAAGCAUAUCAAUAAGCGGAGGA